UACGUAGGGUGCAAGCGUUGUCCGGAAUUAUUGGGCGUAAAGAGCUCGUAGGCGGUUUGUCGCGUCUUGCUUGUGAAAUCCCGAGGCUCAACCUCGGGCCUGCAGUCGAUACGGGCAGGCUAGAGUCCGGCAGGGGAGACUGGAAUUCCUGGUGUAGCGGUGAAAUGCGCGAUAUCAGGAGGAACACCGGUGGCGAAGGCGG
rnacentral:rRNA from 1 species